UUUUAUCCAUUAAAGUAAAUCCUGCCCAGUGACUAAUUCAACGGCCGCGGUACCCUAACCGUGCAAAGGUAGCAUAAUCACUUGCCUUUUAAUGGAAGGCUGGAAUGAAUGGACCAACGAAAUUCUAACUUUAUCAUUCUUAACCCUAAAACUUAGACCCUAGGUGAAGAUACCUAGAUUAAAAUGAAAGACAAGAAGACCCUAUAGAGUUUUAGUUUAACCGAUACCCUUUAUUAAUCUAAACUUUGGUUGGGGCGACCUAGGAUCUUUAUUAUCAUCCUUAACCCUUAAAGAUCAAUCCAUCUUUAAAAUGAUCCUACUUAUAGACUCUAAAAUAAACUACCUUAGGGAUAACAGGCUUAUCUUCCUAAAAAGUCCAAAUCGACAGGAAGGUCUGGCACCUCGAUGUUGGCUUAGAGUAACCUAAUAAUGCAAAAGUUAUUACUGGUCGGCUUGUUCAACCGUUAAACCUCUACGUGAUCUGAUUCAGACCGGA
rnacentral:rRNA from 1 species